rnacentral:rRNA from 1 species
UGGGGGAUAUUGCACAAUGGGCGAAAGCCUGAUGCAGCGACGCCGCGUGGGGGAUGAAGGCCUUCGGGUUGUAAACUUCUUUUGCUCUGAACAAGGCGCACCAUGGGGUGUGUUGAGUGUAGGGGUUGAUUAGCGCCGGCUAACUACGUGCCAGCAACCGCGGUAAUACGUAGGGCGCGAGCGUUGUCCGGAAUUAUUGGGCGUAAAGGGCUUGUAGGUGGCUGGUUGCGUCUGUCGUGAAAGCUCAUAGCUUAACUGUGGGUUUGCGGUGGGUACGGGCUGGCUUGAGUGCAGUAGGGGAGGCUGGAAUUCCUGGUGUAGCGGUGGAAUGCGCAGAUAUCAGGAGGAAUACCGGUGGCGAAGGCGGGUCUCUGGGCUGUUACUGACACUGAGGAGCGAAAGCAUGGGGAGCGAACAGG